UUACACUAGUCUUAAAUUGUGGAAUAUUCUCUUAUCAUAUAAAUUAUCAAUGUGAUAACGAAACAGUUGAGUAAUGAUGUUCCGUCAUGUAGUCGUACGGAACAGGAUAAUCAAAGAUGAGAGGAACCAUAAUAAUGGUUAAAUAGAAGUAAAUCGAUAAACGGUCAUUUAGACUAAACGGGUCAAAAGGUGAAAAUAUCACCCUUUGACAAUAUCGACUAAUGAAUUUGUCGAGUGUAUGAUUACAGGAAUACAUAUCAAAUGGAAAUUUGCAUCGCUAUUAGUUAGCGUUUAUUAAGCAAAGCAUUAAAUGGGUCAAUAUGUUGAUCCGAGCCAGGUACUUUUGGAUGCCGGAAGACGAUCAAGCUCAACGAGGAACCGAACACGAUAAAGAUACACGCUUCCGCACUUUGCAUCGUCAUUAAUUUUUAAACGACGAAUUUGAUCACGUUAUGUCAAAUGACUUAUGAUUUGUAAAAGUUUUAAUAAACCCGUAUUUCCGACGUAUAUGUAAUCUAAAUUACAUGGUUGCUUUUCGUA